rnacentral:rRNA from 1 species
UACGGAGGGUGCAAGCGUUAUCCGGAUUCACUGGGUUUAAAGGGUGCGUAGGCGGGUAAGUAAGUCCGGGGUGAAAUCUCUGAGCUUAACUCAGAAACUGGCGUGGAUACUAUUUGCCUUGAAUAUUGUGGAGGUGAGCGGAAUAUGUCAUGUAGCGGUGAAAUGCUUAGAUAUGACAUAGAACACCAAUUGCGAAGGCAGCUCACUACACAAUCAUUGACGCUGAGGCACGAAAGCGUGGGGAUCAAACAGG